GAGGAAGGCACGUACUUCCUUCAUGGAUUUCGGGUAAGGCAUCUUCUGGAUUGCCGUAACACGUCCAGGAUCCAUCUGCAGCAGUCCACCUCCGACUAUAAACCCUAGACUGUGGGCUACCCGACGCAAGUAUUUCAGGUGCGUCUGAAAGUCUGGAGCCAGGAUUAGCAGGUCGUCCAAGUAGACGAAGACGUUGGAUCUGAGCUCCGCUGGUAUCACCCGAUCCAUGAGUCGCACCAAGCGUUGUGCCGCGUUGCACAGUCCGAACGGCAUCAUUCGGAAUUGGUACAACGGCCUGCCUGGAACCGUGAACGCAGUGUACUCCUUGCUCUUCUCAUCCAGUUCGAUCUGCCAAAACGCAAACUUCAGGUCAACGCUGGAGAUGUAAUGCGUCUGGUCUAUUCUGGAGAGGAUUCCUUCUAUACUGGGCAGAGGGUAUGCAUCUUUGAUAGUCAAGGCGUUCAACUUCCGGGCAUCCAGGCAGAACCGGUCUUUCCCUGGCUUCGACACCACUGUUGUGCGAUUGCUCCACGGGCUUUUGCUCUCCUCGAUGACACCCAGCUACAACAUCUUGUCGAUUUCGUCUUCGACCACCUUCUGCUUCGCCGGAGACAUCGGAUACGGACGAUCCUUAAAGACCCGAGCUCCUUCCAUCAGCUCGAUGGAAUGCCUCUCCAUGCUGGUGACUCCGAGGCCGUCCCUCUCAAAGAAAGGCUCCAGGAUUCGGGUUCCUCCCUUACCUCGUCCUCAUCUUCCUGGUCGGCAUAGUGCUCCAUCUGGCUGGCAUGGAUUUCCUCCGCUGCCUUGACGCCUCUCGUCGCCGGCUUCCCCACGACGGCUGGAGCUAGUCCGAAGGCUCGCCAGAAGUCGACUCCGAAGUACGCCGUUUGUUCCAGGCAGCUCCAAGCGUCCGAUGAUGGAUCGAUCUUCGCCAGAAGCCGUACGGACUACCGAAAAAUACGGUUGGACGGUAACUCCCAGCGCUUCCACGAGCUCUCGACAGCCUUUGCCCAGCACACUUACGCUGGCGCCUGUAUCCAACAAGCCGGUGAGCUGCUUGCCCAAGGUCUCCACGUCGGCGAAG